CCUACGGGAGGUAGCAGUGGGGGAUAUUGCACAAUGGGGGGAACCCUGAUGCAGCGACGCCGCGUGGGUGAAGAAGCGCCUCGGCGCGUAAAGCCCUGUCAGCAGGGAAGAAAAUGACGGUACCUGAAGAAGAAGCCACGGCUAACUACGUGCCAGCAGCCGCGGUAAUACGUAGGGGGCAAGCGUUAUCCGGAUUUACUGGGUGUAAAGGGGGCGCAGACGGCGAUGCAAGCCAGGAGUGAAAGCCCGGGGCUCAACCCCGGGACUGCUCUUGGAACUGGGUGGCUGGAGUGCAGGAGGGGCAGGCGGAAUUCGUGGUGUAGCGGUGAAAUGCGUAGAUAUCAGGAGGAACACCGGUUGCGAAGGCGGCCUGCUGGACUGCAACUGACGUUGAGGCCCGAAAGCGUGGGGAGCAAACAGGAUUAGAUACCCUGGUAGUC
rnacentral:rRNA from 1 species